rnacentral:rRNA from 1 species
UACGGGGGGGGCAAGCGUUGUUCGGAAUUACUGGGCGUAAAGGGCUCGUAGGCGGCCAACUAAGUCAGACGUGAAAUCCCUCGGCUUAACCGGGGAACUGCGUCUGAUACUGGAUGGCUUGAAUCCGGGAGAGGGAUGCGGAAUUCCAGGUGUAGCGGUGAAAUGCGUAGAUAUCUGGAGGAACACCGAUGGCGAAGGCAGCCUUCUGGGCCAACACUGACGCUCAUGCACGAAAGCGUGGGGAGCAAACAGG